UGGGGAAUAUUGGACAAUGGGCGAAAGCCUGAUCCAGCCAUGCCGCGUGAGUGAAGAAGGCCUUCGGGUUGUAAAGCUCUUUCGGCGGGGACGAUGAUGACGGUACCCGCAUAAGAAGCCCCGGCAAACUUCGUGCCAGCAGCCGCGGUAAUACGAAGGGGGCUAGCGUUGUUCGGAAUUACUGGGCGUAAAGCGAACGUAGGCGGUGUUCCAUGUCAGAGGUGAAAGCCUGGGGCUCAACUCCAGAAUUGCCUUUGAAACGGGGACGCUUGAGUCCGAGAGAGGAUGGCGGAAUUCCUAGUGUAGAGGUGAAAUUCGUAGAUAUUAGGAAGAACACCGGUGGCGAAGGCGGCCAUCUGGCUCGGUACUGACGCUCAGGUUCGAAAGCGUGGGGAGCAAACAGGAUUAGAUACCCUGGUAGUCCACGCCGUAAACGAUGAGUGCUAGUUGUUGGGAAGUUUACUUCUCAGUGACGAAGCUAACGCGAUAAGCACUCCGCCUGGGGAGUACGGCCGCAAGGUUA
rnacentral:rRNA from 1 species